CACGUAGGACGCAAGCGUUAUCCGGAAUUACUGGGCGUAAAGGGCGUGUAGGCGGCACGGUAAGUCAACCGUGAAAGCUCCCGGCUAAACUGGGAGAGGUCGGAUGAGACUGCCGAGCUAGAGGGUCGUAGAGGGGUGUGGAAUUCCGGGUGUAGUGGUGAAAUACGUAGAUAUCUGGAAGAACACCAGUUGCGAAGGCGGUCUCUUGGUCCGAUACUGACGCUGAGGCGCGAAAGCGUGGGGAGCAAAC
rnacentral:rRNA from 1 species